rnacentral:rRNA from 1 species
CUGCAGCUCGAGUGGUGAUCGAUGUUAUUGAGCCUAAAGCGUCCGUAGCCGGUCUAGUAAACCCUUGGGUAAAUUGGGCAGCUUAACUGUCCAAAUUCCGAGGGGACUGCUAGUCUUGGGACCGGGAGAGGUCAGAGGUACUCAAGGGGUAGGGGCUAAAUCCUGUAAUCCUUUGGGGACCACCAGUGGCGAAGGCGUCUGACUAGAACGGAUCCGACGGUAAGGGACGAAACCCUGGGGCGCGAACCGGAUUAGAUACCCGAGUAGUCC